rnacentral:rRNA from 1 species
CCCUUAGAUGUCCGGGGCCGCACGCGCGCUACACUUAAGGAAUCAGCGUGGCUUUCUCCCUGACCCGAAAGGGUUGGGAAACCCGUUGAAUAUCCUUCGUGAUAGGGAUUGGGGCUUGAAAUUGUUCCCCAUGAACGAGGAAUUCCCAGUAAGCGCGAGUCAUAAGCUCGCGUUGAUUACGUCCCUGCCCUUUGUACACACCGCCCGUCGCUACUACCGAUUGAACGGUUUAGUGAGGGCCUCGGAUUGGUCUCGGCCCGCUCUUUACCGGGCGGCGCCGUUGGUCGAGAAGACGCUCGAACUUGAUCGUUUAGAGGAAGUAAAAGUCGUAACA